rnacentral:lncRNA from 1 species
AUGUUGCAAUUGGGUCAUUUUGGGCCUCUCUUCCGGCUAGUUUGGAGCCAUUUCUACUGCACUAUCUUCAUUGGUUUGGAGCCAUUUCUAUUGUAUUGUACAAAAAUAAAAUUAUUAUUAUUAUUAUUAUUAUUAAUAUUAUUAUUAUUAAUAUUAUUAUUGUCUUGGUUCAUUGUAGCUAUCAUUUUGGUUGGGUUGGAGCCAUUCCUAUCGCAUUGGGUUAUUCCUGUUGCAUUUGGGUCAUGUCUCCUCCUUACUUGGGUUGGCUUGGAGCCAUUUCUAUUGCUUUGGGUCAUCGCUGGCCCCCAUUUAUAUUGGACCAGAGCAAUAUCUAUUGCAUUGGGUCAUUUUUUGGCCACUGUCUUCAUUGAGUCAGAGCCAUUUCUAUUGUCUUGGUUCAUUGUAGCUACCAUUUUGGUUGGGUUGGAGCCAUUCCUAUUGCCUUUGCAUAUUUCUAUUGUAUUUGGGUCAUCUUGGUUCACCAUUUGGGUUGGGUCGGAGCCAUUUCGGUUGCAUUGUCCGCCUUUAGGAUUGGGUUGGAGCCCUUUCUGUUGCGUUGGGUCAUCUUUGGCCCACCUUUUCAGUGGAGAUCAGGGCCAUUCCUAUUGCAUUGGGUUAUUCCUGUUGCAUUUGGGUCAUGUCUCCUCCUUACUUUGGUGGGCUUGGAUCCAUUUCUAUUGCAUUUGGGUCAUCUUGGUUCACCAUUUGGGUUGGGUCAGAGCCAUUUCGGUUGCAUUGUCCGCCUUUAGGAUUGGGUUGGAGCCCUUUCUGUUGCGUUGGGUCAUCUUUGGCCCACCUUUUCAGUGGAGAUCAGGGCCAUUCCUAUUGCAUUGGGUCCUUUUUGGGGCCCACUGUGGUUGGGUUCAACAGCAACGGAGGCGGCAGAGGCUUCAUGGGGCUGGUCCCGUCCAAAGGGCCAGAGGCGACCCGGGGAGGCUGCUUCACCCCGACUCUAAAGCCCAUCUCCGUGCCUGGCAUCCUCCCCCCCGAUGCUUCCUUCGGAGACGCAUGCCUUCCCACCCAAACCUGCCGCAUCCGGAGACGGUUCCAUGGCAACCCCGUAUUCCUUUCUGCUCUGGAGGCGACACUCAUCCCUCUCGAGUUGCCUUCCUGGUUGUUGUUCUAGAAAUGAAGUUCCUUCCAAGGUGA